rnacentral:rRNA from 1 species
AUUGAACGCUGGCGGCAGGCCUAACACAUGCAAGUCGAACGGUAACAGGAAACAGCUUGCUGUUUCGCUGACGAGUGGCGGACGGGUGAGUAAUGUCUGGGAAACUGCUUGAUGGAGGGGGAUAACUACUGGAAACGGUAGCUAAUACCGCAUAACGUCGCAAGACCAAAGAGGGGGACCUUCGGGCCUCUUGCCAUCGGAUGUGCCCAGAUGGGAUUAGCUAGUAGGUGGGGUAACGGCUCACCUAGGCGACGAUCCCUAGCUGGUCUGAGAGGAUGACCAGCCACACUGGAACUGAGACACGGUCCAGACUCCUACGGGAGGCAGCAGUGGGGAAUAUUGCACAAUGGGCGCAAGCCUGAUGCAGCCAUGCCGCGUGUAUGAAGAAGGCCUUCGGGUUGUAAAGUACUUUCAGCGGGGAGGAAGGGAGUAAAGUUAAUACCUUUGCUCAUUGACGUUACCCGCAGAAGAAGCACCGGCUAACUCCGUG